rnacentral:misc_RNA from 1 species
UAGUCAAUAAAAUAAUUUAGUUACGGCAAAAAUUAUUGAGCAAGAAAUAAUUAAUACAAAAAGUAGGUAACUGAAAAUUUUUAGCAAGGAACGAUUAACAAUGCAAAAACCGUGACUACGCUCGGACAAAUCUUUUAAAUUCAAAUAAAAAAAAUUUAAAUAUUAACUUUAAAUUUUAAGCAUACUAAUAUAAAUACACAACCUAAACGAAACAGUAAUCAAAUUUAAUUAAUAAAAAUGAAAAGUAAUAAUUUAACACAAUUCACAAAACACAAAACACACAAAGACACCAGGAAUAAGAAAAAAAAAUUGAGUGCCAAUGCGUUACCCUACAAAAUAAAAUAAUUAAAAUAAUUCACCGACAAACAAAUAAUUUUAAAUAUUAGAGAAUUCACGCUGGGCGC